GCGGGAGUCGUCUCCAACCAAGUAUAUAACGGUGGAGGCCAGAUCGUUCCUGGGGUCGAGCCACCUCUGGAGCGGCAUCACCUCCGAUGUAGACUUCUCUGCUUUCUCCUUCCCGACGAACAUGGGGUAUUUGUCACCCAAGUGUAGGCCUCGAGUCACGCCAUUAACCCGUAUCUUGUACUUUCCUAGCUCCAAUGCAGAUACCCGAACCAAUUGUUG
rnacentral:misc_RNA from 1 species